GCUGUGAUGGCUGAGUGAUGAAGGUGUUGGACUUGAAAUCCCCUGGUAUUUCCCCAUGCAGGUUCAAAUUUUGCUCACAGCA
rnacentral:tRNA from 1 species